UACGUAGGUGGCGAGCGUUAUCCGGAAUUACUGGGUGUAAAGGGUGUGUAGGCGGGUUUGCAAGUCAGAUGUGAAAGGCUACGGCUCAACUGUAGCAUUGCAUCAGAAACUGCAGAUCUUGAGAGUGGGAGAGGUAAGCGGAAUUCCUGGUGUAGCGGUGAAAUGCGUAGAUAUCAGGAGGAACACCGGUGGCGAAGGCGGCUUACUGGACCAUCACUGACGCUGAUACACGAAAGCGUGGGGAGCAAAC
rnacentral:rRNA from 1 species